rnacentral:rRNA from 1 species
UACAGAGGGUGCGAGCGUAAUCGGAAUUACUGGGCGUAAAGCGUGCGUAGACGGUUACGUAAGUUAGGUGUGAAAGCCCCGGGCUCAACCUGGGAAUUGCAUUUAAGACUGCGUAGCUAGGGUGCGGAAGAGGGAAGCGGAAUUUCCGGUGUAGCGGUGAAAUGCGUAGAUAUCGGAAGGAACAUCAGUGGCGAAAGCGGCUUCCUGGUCCAGC